rnacentral:rRNA from 1 species
UACGUAGGUGACAAGCGUUGUCCGGAUUCACUGGGCGUAAAGGGCGCGUAGGCGGCGGCUUGAGUCCCUGCGUGAAAUCUCCCGGCUCAACCGGGAGGGUGCGCGGGAUACUGGGCGGCUUGAGGACAUCAGAGGAGAGCGGAAUCCCCGGUGUAGUGGUGAAAUGCGUAGAUAUCGGGGGGAACACCAGUGGCGAAGGCGGCUCUCUGGGGUGCACCUGACGCUGAUGCGCGAAAGCGUGGGGAGCGAACCGG